CCUACGGGGGGCAGCAGUGGGGAAUAUUGCGCAAUGGGCGAAAGCCUGACGCAGCGACGCCGCGUGAGGGAUGAAGGUUUUCGGAUCGUAAACCUCUGUCAGAAGGGAAGAAAGUGCGUGGUGCUAAUCAGCCGCGUAUUGACGGUACCUUCAAAGGAAGCACCGGCUAACUCCGUGCCAGCAGCCGCGGUAAUACGGAGGGUGCGAGCGUUAAUCGGAAUUACUGGGCGUAAAGCGCACGUAGGCUGUUGUGUAAGUCAGGGGUGAAAUCCCACGGCUCAACCGUGGAACUGCCCUUGAUACUG
rnacentral:rRNA from 1 species